CUGGGAUUACAUGCAUGAGCCACUGCGCCCAGCUUUUUUAAACUUUUAGGUUCAUUUAAUAGGUAAAUUGUGUGUCAGAGGGGUUUGUAGCUUAUUCUUUCAGAAACUCUGGCAUUAUCUGUAGAUGUGGACGUAAAUAUCCACCUCAUGGGGUUUUCAUAAAAAAAUUAUUGAGAUAAUGUAUGUAAUGUUGCACAGUGCUUUGCAGACUAUCUAAUAAAUAGUAGCUAUUAGUACAAACUUGUUGCUUUUUGGCUAGUUCUGCAGUCACUUUUGGAAUCAGCUUAUGAACCACACAAAAAAUUUGUCAUUAUUCUGUAGUCACUGUUUUUGAUACUGAUGAAAAUUUACAGUAUCCACCUGGAUCAUACCAUCUGGCUCACAAGAUUUGAUCUUGAAUUGUUAGCGCAAUGAACUAGAGCCCCAAAGGAUGAAGGUUUACCUUGUGGGUAUUAAAAAUGCUAGAAGCUUAGAAAGCUGUUUCCAAAGGGAGAUUCCUUGUUACCAACCAUGAUAGCAUUGCUAUGGUGUAUGUGGUCUCCCAGAGUGGCUGCUUUGGGAUGGGAGGUCACUUAGCUAUUAGAAGUUAGGUCUCUUUGUAUUAUACCUUAUAAACAAGGCUCAUUUGGACUUAGGGCUUCCCUUAGGGGUGACACUUAACCUUGCCAAGGAGAUCAUUUCUACCAGUGGGAUCCAUCCAGCAGAUCAGUUCUUAAGUUCAGCUUCAUCAUGUGUACUGCUACACAGUGCAGGCUGACUUCGCAUUCACCAUUCAGAUGCCCUCUCCUAGUUUUAUGUUCUUGGCAGCAAUGAAAAGGACCUCAGAGUUCUCAGGCAAGAUGAUCUUCACUGAGCUAUAUGUUGGAGGAACCCAGAACCAUCAUGGUUUUAGGGUGCAGUUGAAAAUCCUUGCUGUGAAUGGGGUUUGUGACACUGAAAGUUACCCCUUCCCUGGGAAUUUUGUGGGAACCCUUGCCACACAAAUCAAUGGAGCGGUGGGAAGAAGCACCACAAGAAAUGCCUUUUUUUUUCCUUUAAAAAAUGUUUGAAAACUCCUACUAAUAUGGGUAGGAAAACUUCUGCCACAUCUGAUCAUAAAAUGAGAGUUGCUCAAAAUACUAGUGCAGAUCACUCUGACAUGUGAAAUACAAGACUUCAGGAUUGGUGCUGGAAACUUAAUAAAUACAGUGAACUUGAAAAGCUUAUCCCUAAACUGUAAUCCUCCCAAACAAAACAAAAACAAAGCAAGAAAAAAAAAAACCUUAUUUAAAAUUGUCAAAAGAGGCUGAAUUUUUUGAAGUUACCAAAAUUAUAUCUUUAGACCUUUCUUCUGAUUUGGUAUUUUAUGUAUUUAAGCAGUUACCUGAUUCUGAUUUAAAGGAGCAAUUUUAUUUCUUCUUUUCUAACUCAUUUACCCAAUGAGUUUGUGUGACUGUAGAGAAAAGUAGGCUGUGUGGUUUUUCUAGUUGUCUAUACACGUUGCCUCAUAGAGCAUAUAUACACAUGUGUAAUGUUUUCAUUUCCACUAAGCCGUUCACUCCCUAGAUACUAUGCUGGUGUUUGUUUUUCUGCUGAGGUCUCCCACAUUUUUAAUGCCUUUCUGAGUUACUCCUCCUGAAGGAACGUUAUAUACUGUACUGGAAGCAAAUGAGGCUUUUCUUAAACUUCCAGUCUUGGGUUUUGCAUGUAGCAUUUCCAUUCCUUACAGAUGAAUGAGUUCUUUUUUUCCCUAUUGACUAUUAGGGCUUUGCCUUAUGGAAAGGAAUAGGGUGGUGAAGGGAAAAUAUUUUGAGAUCUUGCCUGGUCUUAAUAGGGAGUUUGUGACACUUAGAUUUUCAAGUGUUCAGUUUAUACCUUUCCCAAAUCUGGUUGCAGUGUAUUUAGUCAAGCAUUGAAGACCUAACAUAUGGCAUGUUUUGCAAGGCACAGGGAAAGAAAAAUGAACUGAGAACAGCGAGACCUUCUGGAAAUUCCCAGAGUGGGACGCUGCAAACCCUGGGUCCUGGGCCUGCCUGAAUCACAGCCUCAGUGGGAGGAUCUUAUGAAAGGCUCUGCCUUUUCCCAUGGUACCGUAGAAACUGCAAAUAUAAUGACGAUAUGGAGAGCAGGGGCAGAAAGCAAGGGCUUCUUCGCUGGAAUAAGGAAGAGGAGGAAGCCAAGGAAGACAGACACUGUGGCGUCAGUGCGGUAGCCUUUCCUAGUAAAGAGACAAGCAUCGCUGAGGAGAAGGGUCAGGAAUUUUCAGGAGUAACAUGAUGUCUCGGGGCAGUCUGUGCAAACACAGUGCCUCUUUUUAGGACUUAGUCUAGAGGUGAAAUUAACCUUAGUUCUUGCCAGUUGCUGCCAUGCUAUCCACAGUGGAUUUAAUGGGCAAUGGUGAAUGUCUGGAAGCAGGGCCUGGCUAGAGUAGAUGUCUUGGUGUGAAUUUGUGAGCCCGUUAAUUGGGGCAAGUCCUAGAAGGAGUGAUCAGGAGUGAAGAUGGUUAGAUAAAGGAGAAUAGAAGAGGAUGAGACCUCUUUCCUAUGAAGGCCACACCUCCAUGUGCCUCCCUUCUCAAGUGAGAAGUUGGUCUCUUUUCUUUACAGUUGGUACUUUAUAGAUGUUUUCUCCUUUAACUCUCAUAACCACCUAUGAGGUAACCAAGCUUCUAAGAGCUUAUGUAAUGAGACCACUUGCAGCACUGGAUCCCAGCCCCAGACCAGGACUCCAAAGGGAGUUUUUCCUUCCUGAUCUCACACUGCAGCCUCCCUAAAAAGAGUGGAUUCCCCAGGGAAUGAAAUCUUCCUGGCUUCAUAUCUUCCCCUGAGAGUCUAUGAAGGAUGCAAGUAGUUCUUGCCUGAAGAAUUGGGGUGAGGGAGUUGUUCUUAAGGAGGAAAUUAUAUCACUUACUUUUCAAAGAAAGAAUCCCAGCCAGGGACAAAGCCAGGCUCCCGGGUAAACCACAGUACGGUCAUCAGGAUGAAGAAAAAUCCAGUCACCAUUUCAGGGUAGCUAUAAAAUAAAACAGAAAGACCCACUCAGGAACUGAGUAAUUUCUCCUAGCUUUUUCACUUUGCUUCUGGAAGCUUCUGUAUUUAGAGUUUCAAUACCCUAGACAUAAAACACACUCACUGCCUAACCACUGUGAAUGGCUGACAGUGAGAUGAGGAGAAGACUGAGUGGCCCCAGAAAACAUGACAUUAACCAUGUUCCCUGGAGAAACUUCUGUGGAAAGGGCAAGAGAACACAGCACUGUACAUUUAUAAAAUAAUUUCAAAUACAGCCUACAAGGAGAGUGCCGUGAAAUAGGCACCCCCAAACACUGUGCUGGUGGGAAGAGGAAUUGCUACAACCUUUUUGAGGCCAUUUGAUGAUAUACAUCAGAAGCCUUAAAGUUGGUCAUUCCCUGGCCGGGUGUGGGCUCACACCUGUAAUCCCAGCACUUUGGGAAGCGGAGGCGGGCAGAUCACGAGGUCAGGAGAUGGCGACCAUCCUGGCUAACACAGUGAAACCCCGUCUCUACUAAAAAUACAAAAAAUAGCCGGGCAUGGUGGCGGGUGCCUGUAGUCCCAGUUACUUGGGAGGCUGAGGCAGGAGAAUCACUUGAACCCCAGAGGCGAAUGUUGCAGUGAGCCAAGAUUGUGCCACUGCACUCUAGUCUGGGCGACAGAGCGAGGCUCCAUCUCAAAAAAAAAAGUUGGUCAUUCCCAUCAUCUAACCAGAAGUGCAUACUGAGACAUUUAUUACCUAUUAAAAAAUGGAAGCAUCCUGUAUAUCCAAUGAUAUUUCAUACACUGAAUACAUUUUGAUACAACUCUAUGUUAAAAUGAGAUGCAUCUACUGAUAAUCCUGUUUCCACAGCAGAGUUAAGGACAUGGAACAUAUUGUACACUGUUGAGUUGAGUACAGUGUUGAGUUGAGAAAGGCAAGGUAUACAAUGGUUUCGGUGUGGACUGAAUUUUACCAAAAAUACAUAAGAGUUUUGCACAAAAAAGCAUGGAAAGAAGUGUCAACAUUUGUUAACACAGGGUGCUAAGAAUUCAGUCAAUUUUAAUUUUUUUCUUAUACUGUCUUGUAUUUUUGAAAUGUUCUACGAUGAACAUGUAUUCCUUUUAUAACUUAAAGCUUUAAAUAAGACAGUGUCUACCUGGAUUGUGUUAUGCAAAGUUGUGUGUGCCAAUUGCCAUAAAAGGAGAAAUAGCACUAAAUAGGAAGCUGGGUCCCUGUGGAGAAGCUGAUAGAAGUGGCUGAGGGUUGGUUAGAGAUUUCUUGGGCCCUCGGUCUCCAAGUCUGUCUUUGAUACUGCUUUUUGCCCUAAAUAUAGCACAGCGUCUCCCAUCUCCCUGGGAGUGAUAACUGGACCACUGUGGUGGCAUGUCUGAGCAAUGAGAGGAGGCCUGGCUUUGGAAGGAAUUCACAUUUUCCAAGAGGGUGACUGUGCUGUCUUUCCCUUCUUCUGCCUCCGUCUGCCCCAUGGUCAGCACUCCACCCCAUGCCACGGCUAUACCUUGGACUCCAAACGGAGCAAAGGGAAAGGGUGGCCACCUGAAAUCUGGGCCAGCUUGGCUUUGGCAUUAAAUAGCAUCUUCUAAAUGCCUGAUUCAGAGUUGUGGAAAAUUCUCCCAGUGUCAGGGGCUGUCAAGAACAAGGCUCCUCCUGUGCUCACUUUACCUGCUGUGUUUCUGCUGGAGGAGGAGAGAAGAGGAAUGGCUGAUUUUUACCUAAUGUCUCCCAGCUUUUCAUAUUCUUCUUGGAUCCUCUUCUCUGACAACUGUUCCCUUUUGGUCUUCUUCUUCUUGCUCAGAGAGCAGGUCUCUUUAAAACUGAGAGGGGAGAAUGAGCAAAUGAUGAAAGAAAACACACUUCUGAGGCCCAGAGAUCAAAUAUUAGGUAUUUACUAAACCACUCGCCUGCUGCAGUCACUUUUCUCCUCUUCACAUGCUCUAUCCCUCUAUCCCCCACCUAUUCAUACGGCUUUUAUCUGCCACAUUAUCCGGACCCUCAUCAACCUUGUGCCCUAGACUAUUGGGGAUAUCCAUCUGGGUCUGUCUCUGGUAUAUUGGUGUGAAGUGAUGUCUCAAGGACUUGUGCACGUGUAUUCGCGUGGGGUCGUUUCUACCUACUUGUCUUUUACAUAAGUAAAAUAAUUAGUGUAAUGUGGUAUAUGUGUCUAGGUAUAUAAACUACAACUUUUACUCCACUAUGUGUCUAGAUGUAUAACUAACAUUUUUACUUCAGAGAAGCUUUGUCUCUAGCCAAACACACACACAAACAUCUGCAUAUAUGGAACACACAGUGUUAGUUUUAUAUUGGCAAUACUGGAGUUAAGAAGUAUAUAGACGUCAUUGGUUUGACAACAGUCUGAGUAAAAAGAAAAGUCAGAGAACAUUUCUUGACCAAUGGGAGCAUAUGGACUAAUAGCAAAACAUUAUAUUAUCUUCCCUUUAUGUGUUUGAAACUGAUCAAAUUUGGAGUAGACUGACUUGUUAUUUUGAGGCAUGUGAGCAUAUUUUAUUCAGGCUACUAAGUAUAAAUCACCCAUGCCUAUAAAGUUAAACCUAAUGCAAAUUCUACUUGGAGUCAUAUUUUUUAUUUCUUAUUUCUUGGAGUAAUUGGAAGUACUCUAUAUGCUUUGAGAGCAAUAAAACGACAUUAAAUACUCUUCA